GAGGCUUUGCUAUAAUUUCAGAAGCUAAACUUGUGCUGUUCAUUUCACCAGCAUUUCCACCGAGCAAACCAAAAAUCCCAUGGUUUUUGGCCUCAGAUGAAGGCAAAGCAAGCAUAGGCUUGUCUUCAUUAGCAGGGAGAGCCAGUGGAAAUACAUUAGCAGGUCCUAAGGGAGGCAUGUGAACUGGGGCAGGCAGAAAAUGAUCUCCACCUCCAAUAUAAGCAAUCGCUAGCUUAUCAAAUUCUAACACGCUGUAAUCACGAAUUCGAAGGACAGGAGUCCUCAUCUGACAAGGAAAUUGAAUAUCAUCAAUUUCCUCAUCUACACUUGGAGAAGCUCCACCUAAGGAACUUUUAAAUCCUUGACAGCGAAAUUCAGCCUCAAUAUCAGCAAAUGCAACAUUCCAUAACACUUCAGUGGAGUUUGGAGAAUAGUGUUGCAGCACAUAAUCUGUCCUUGUGAUGUAAAUCAGAUGCUGAGCUGUUCCCAAGUCAGCAGCAAUAGAUUCUAUCAAUUGAGCAUCUUUUGCCA
rnacentral:misc_RNA from 1 species